rnacentral:rRNA from 1 species
UACAGAGGGUGCAAGCGUUAAUCGGAAUUACUGGGCGUAAAGGGUGCGUAGGUGGCAAUCUAAGUCAGAUGUGAAAGCCCUGGGCUUAACCUAGGAAUUGCAUUUGAAACUGGAUAGCUAGAGUAUGGUAGAGGGAAGUGGAAUUUCCGGUGUAGCGGUGAAAUGCGUAGAUAUCGGAAGGAACACCAGUGGCGAAGGCGGCUUCCUGGACUAAUACUGACACUGAGGCACGAAAGCGUGGGGAGCGAACAGG